rnacentral:tRNA from 2 species
UGAGGCGUCGUCUAAUGGUAGGACAGCGGAUUCUGGAUCCGCCGGUGGAGGUUCGAAUCCUCCCGCCUCAGCCA